CCCGUGAAGUGUCUGCUGCA
rnacentral:miRNA from 1 species